GUCGGAGACGCACUGUGGGACGCGGUUCUUAGCAACGGCACAGACUCUGAAUCGACCCGCCAGCUAAGUCCCGCCCGGCGGGAGGUGCUCCGCGCGUUACUAAAGAUGACAGCCGAAAGAAACACGGCGGCGGUGGUCUUCCUGGUACUACUCCUAGCCCUGCCGGCCGCUACGAACAGCUCUGACGCGUGCGCGGCACCAGGUUUCUCCUCCACCCCCGCCCCGAGCGUCUCAAAGAGAGAAGGCUCCGUGGUUCGGUUUUUCGGUCUCGGCAGAGCUGCUUCCGUUAAAGGCGUGGCUGGGAAGGUUGCCAGCUCUGUGGCGGAGUUGAAAAUGAGCGUGCCGUACGAUCCCGGCGGGCACCCGUGUCGCCCGCCCCGCGCGCCCGCCUCCGCCCUCCUUCCCUACUGGAGCCGCGCCCGGUAGCCCGAUUGUAGCCACGUUGACCGCAGGAGCAAUACGCGGUUCGCAACAAGGUUGCCGGCUAUUUGCCUUUAUAGUACCAUCUGUGACUGAAGCAGAGCCUGCGAGCCGCUCUGAGUACACAACUUUGCCGCGAGGCAUGCAGACCACACCAACUCUCUGCUGAUUGUUCGUUGCAAAGCAUUGCAAGCCCCCGAAAAGAACUGGGCGUGUGCCAUUGUUUAUCACUAUGUGAAUGACUUUGUUUUCUGUCCCCGCUGACGAGUCUUAGUCUCCGAGAGACAUCUCGUCUUGCUUCAGCUCUGUGGGCUGACGGAGCGCUGGGAGAGAUGCGCUUGGGACUGAGUUGCGGCUGACACACCCAUGAUGGCGGCUGCCCGUAGCGACUCACUGACACACCCGCGAUGGCGGCUGCCCGUAGCGACUCACUGACACACCCAUGAUGGCGGCUGCCCGUAGCGACUCACUGACACACCCAUGAUGGCGGCUGCCCGCAGCGACCGCCGGCAGCCAGUUACAAUCGCUUCUCAGCUUGGAAAAGUUUUCGGACCUGCCGCGCGGAGGGCGGCUGCCUGCCGCUGUGUGUACUGUGUCGAAUCUGCCGCUGUAGCCCGCGCGUCCCCGCGGAUGACUGCACGCGAUACAGGACACGGACUUUUAGUUUUCAGCCGGUAAAAGACGCUACUGAAGGUACAGAGGAACGGACGGUAAAGAGAGAAUGGACCGACGGCAGACGCGACCGCACCGGACGGCUCGGGACCCUCCCUUUCCCGCUGCUCGGCGGAACAGUCUUCAGAUCCGCCCCCUUCACCGCCGCCCGCCCGCCCCAUCUCCGACGGACCGCAUCCCAAAGCCGAGGGGUCUCCCGCGAGCCUUCAACAGCUGGGGGACUGAGGGAGAUGCUGAGGGGAGGCAGCGAAGCCUCGAAGCUGUCUUGACAACACCAGAUGCGAGGAGAGAGCUCUUCACUGAGGGACUGAUUGGAUACUGGAAUGGGCUCCCCGGGGAGGUGGUAAAGUCGCCGUCCCUGGUGCCCUGGAGCUGUUCAAGGCAAGGUUGGACGUGGCGCUUGGUGCCAUGGUCUGACCUUGAGCCCCGUGGUGAAGGGUUGGACUUGAUGACCUAUGAGGUCUCUUCCAACCCUGAUGGUACUGUGAUACUAUGCUACUGCAGACAGAUGUCAGAAAGUUUAUGGAAAUGGUAGCAAGAAUGAUGAGGACGACUUAGGACCAUUUUUGCCCCUGUUACAGGCAUGGACACGCACAGGUGUAUUUUUUUAGUCACCUGAUGAUAACAGUUCGGAUUCGAAAUGAUAGCUAGUAGUUCCUGGCUGGGGUAUUUACCAUCGCCUUACUGGUUAAUUCUUUCUACAGACUACGCAACAAUGACUUUUGCACCCCCUGCUCAGUGGCAAAAAGAAAAAGAGGGAGAUUGCUAGGACAUAGCAGAGAUGCUAAUGCCACUGACCAUGGGUGGAAACUUAUACAGACACGGAAGGCACCAAGCAGGACAGACUAGAACUCAGAUGCAUUGCCUCUCACAGCGAGGGUGUAGGCACUGAGAUCCACAUUGCAAGUCACUAACCAGAUUCUGGACUAGGAGCAGGGAAUGAUAGAGCUUGUAGGCUAAUGCCAGUCAGCUCCUUCCCCCAAUAACAGAUACAGACAGGACUAGUAUAGAAGUUUACUGGAACAGCUGCUAAUUGCAAUGAAAUGAGCCUUGUGACAAUUCUGACUUUUCCCUUUUCUGAGAAUACCAUGGUAUUGAUAUCUUCUUGGGUUUUCUUUGCUUUUCUUGAAGUUCCUAUAGCUGACAGAUAUUUAGGGUAAGAUAAGUUAAGACUAAGGGUUGUAGUUUUGGGAACUUAGGACAUAAGGAUGUUAUGGGAUGUUUUUCUUGGGUAUAUCUAGGCAUUAUUGAAAAGGGGAAAAUGGGUUAGAGGACAGUAGGAUAGCAGAAGAAAUCUUUUCUUUUCUCGAGAUUUUUCUAAUCACAGCAUACAGACUAGGCCAGUGGAUCUGCUAGCCUAGGCAAUGGAUGUGUCUGCAUUUGUUCUUGUAUCUGCUUGUGUUUGACCAUUUAUCUUCACAGGCCUUGAUGAAGACCAACCUGAUUAUGACCAACCUGUUUUUUCCCUAAAGUGAGCAGAAGUCUUGCUCAGAUGGCAGAACUGUGAAAGGACUUGAAAGAAGCACUGACAUGAUGAUUGUAUUUGUAUGGAUCUUUAAGGUUUGGACCAUGGCUAACGAAUUUGGGUAUUUUAUGAGUUUUCAGUGGUUGUGGUUUAAUGGAAUAGGUUCAGUUUAACAGCUUUGUAAAGGCCAAGGCCCACUCAAAUUGGCAUAAGAUGGCAAUGUGACCUUUUUCUCUCUUGCAAGGGCCCUGCAAGAGAUAAAAAAAAAACACUGCCCCAAAUUCUGAAAGCAGAUGAAGAACUGUGGGAAAAGGCCUAACUAGAAUGGACUGAUAGUAACAUCUAGGGCAUAUCUUUGUAUUGUAUUUAGAGGUCUGUAGUUCUUAAGCACAAUAGUCAGACACAGGUCAUAGCUAAGGAGUGUAAUGAGAACAUCGAGUGAACCCAGAACUAUGGAGUCUGAGAAGAAUACUCGACAGCUGAUUGACCUACAAAUCUGCAAUGUCGACUGCCACACAGAGCCAGCGAAGACGUGGCACACCUGCACUCUCCUGUGACUGUGAUGUUCGUCUGGACUUUUGGGUUUCUGAACGAAUGACUUACUGUCGCUUGCAGAAAUAGCUUUUGGGAUUGUUAGCUAAGCUUGGGUUGUUAGCUUGCCAGACUAAUGCUACUGAUGAAAGCUCUAACAGGUUUAUUCCUUCAAUUGUAGCACUGUUGAUUUGUAGCUGCACCAUUCACCCCUGUGUUAAACAUCCUAUGAUAACUUCCUUAGCAAUGAGGGCGGACACUGCGGUUCAAACGACACUGACAAGGCCCAUAUUAGACCUUUAGGUGCUUUUGGAGCAAACAAUUGGCGUUAUGGUGUUAAAGCAUCAAGAAGGGGCCGAGGUCAUCUGUUGUGGAACAACAGAACCGCUAAGGCACUUCCCACUGGUGUGUUCCUUAUUUGUGGUGAUAGAGCCUGGCAAGGCAUACCAAAGAACGUUUAUGGAGGUCCAUGUUAUCUGGGUAAACUGACAAUGUUUGCCCCUCAUCUUAGUCAGCUCAGGGACCUAGCCCGACACCAAUCUAAGUGAUCUCUAAAAUUGAGUCCUAAUUGCAAUGACAACGUUCAAUUGUUAUCCACAGCUGCUCGUGUUGCCUUAGCUGUAUUUCUACCAGGAGGAGCAGCUGGAAAAGCAUUAGUACAGCUAGAGAGACUCGCGCGUUGGUCAGCAAAACAAGCCAAUGUCACCACAAAGGUUUUAGGACAACUAUUGGUUGAUCAAAAUUGCCUUCGUCAUGCCCUAUUGCAAAAUCGAGCAACCGUUGAUUUUCUUUGCUAGCCCAAGGAUAUGGCUGCAAGGACUUCGAAGGGAUGUGUUGUUUGAAUUUAUCAGAUCAUGGUGAGUCCAUUCACAAGAGUAUAACCUGGUUGAAAGGUCAUAUUGACAAGAUGGAAAAGGAAACAUUGACCUUUGAUGACUGGUUGCAGCACCUGUUUGAGACAAUCCCGGGGUGGUUAAGCAGCUUAUUAGGAGAAGGCUUACGGUUAUUUGCUAUUUUCAUAAUAAUUUUGCUAUGCGCUUGUAUUGUCUUUGCUUGCAUUAAGAAGAGCUUAACUAAGGUAGUUAGCCAGGUGUGGGUUGCUCAAAAGAAAAAGAGGGAAUUGUGGAAGAAUUUCUCGCCAGUCGAGGACAUAAAGUCAUAAACAUGGGUAACUGCCGCUGAGAACGUCCUUGGUUCCCAGCGAGGCUAGGAAAUCGAGAUGUAAACAACUGAGCACCCCACACACAGCUGCAGUGGGCAGAGACUAGAUAACCAAGGGGGCUGGAGUGGGUGGUCUGGAAGGCUGACCCUUAGAAUGUUGUGAUAAGUUAACCUAUGCACACCUUACAUGUAACUCUGGACCCUCUGACUGUAACCAAUCUUAAGCUGAGCACGCCUCUUGCUAGAAUGCAUAUAAGUCACUGUAUCACGGAAAUAAAGUGGAUUUGACCAUCUAACCA